rnacentral:snoRNA from 1 species
GGAAGGCAGAUGAUGAGUCAAUACACGCAUAGUUCAUAUGAGACGGCAAAAGCCGCUGUGAAGAUACCUAGCAAAAGUCUUUCGCUCCUAACUGAUGCCUUCC